AGUCGAACGGCAGCACGGACUUCGGUCUGGUGGCGAGUGGCGAGCGGGGUGAUAAUGUAUCGGAACGUGCCUAGUAGCGGGGGAUAACUACGCGAAAGCGUAGCUAAUACCGCACAUACGCCCUUCAGGGAAAGCGGGGACCUUCAGUUUCACUAUUAGAGCAGCCGAUAUCGGAUUGGCUAGUUGGUGGGGUAACGGCUCACCAAGGCGACGAUCCGUAGCUGGUUUGAGAGGACGACCAGCCACACUGGGACUGAGACACGGCCCGAACUCCUACGGGAGGCAGCAGUGGGGAAUUUUGGACAAUGGGGAAACCUGAUCCAGCCAUCCGCGUGUGCGAUGAAGGCCUUCGGGUUGUAAAGCACUUUGGCAGGAAAAACGGCACAGGAUAAUACCCGGUACAGCAAUGACACCUGCAGAAUAAACGCGGCUAACUACGUGCAAAACCUUUUUGAUAUUACGCAGGGUGCAAGCGUUAAUCGGAAUUACUGGGCGUAAAGCGUGCGCAGGCGGUUCGGAAAGAAAGAUGUGAAAUCCCAGAGCUUAACUUUGGAACUGCAUUUUUAACUACCGAGCUAGAGUGGCCGUAAGAGGAGGUGGAAUUCCACGCGUGUAGCAGUGAAAUGCGUAGAUAUGCGGAGGGCCACCGAUGGCGAAGGCAGCCUCCUGGGAUAACACUGACGCUCAUGCAAAAAGCGUGGGGGAGCAAACAGGAUUAGAUGCACCCUGGUAGUCCACGCCCUAAACGAUGUCAACUAGCUGUUGGGGCCUUCGGGCCUUGGUAGCGCAGCUAACGCGUGAAGUUGACCGCCUGGGGAAGUACGGUCGCAAGAUUAAAACUCAAAAGGAACUGACGGGGACCCGCAAGCGGUGGAUGAUGUGGAUUAAUUCGAUGCAACGCGAAAAACCUUACCUACCCUUGACAUGUCUGGAAUCCCGAAGAGGUUUGGGAGUGCUCGCAAGAGAACCGGAACACGGGUGCUGCAUGGCUGUCGUCAGCUCGUGUCGCGAGAUGUUGGGUUAAGUCCCGCAACGAGCGCAACCCUUGUCAUUAGUUGCUACGAAAGGGCACUCCUAAUGAGACUGCCGGUGACAAACCGGAGGAAGGUGGGGAUGACGUCAAGUCCUCGGCCCUUAUGGGUAGGGCUUCACACGUCAUACAAUGGUCGGGACAGAGGGUCGCCAACCCGCGAGGGGAGUAAUCCCAGAAACCCGAUCGUAGUCCGGAUCGCAGUCUGCAACUCUGACUGCGUGAAGUCGAAUCCGCUAGUAAUCGCGGAUCGCUGUCGCGGUGAAUACGUUCCCGGGUCUUGUACACACCGCCCGUCACACCAUGGGAGUGGGUUUUACCAAGUAGUUAGCCUAACCGUAAGGAGGGCGAUUACCACGGUAGGAUUCAUGACUGGGGUGAAGUCGUAACAAGGUAG
rnacentral:rRNA from 1 species